rnacentral:rRNA from 1 species
UACGAAGGGGGCUAGCGUUGUUCGGAAUCACUGGGCGUAAAGCGCACGUAGGCGGAUUUUUAAGUCAGGGGUGAAAUCCCGGGGCUCAACCUCGGAACUGCCUUUGAUACUGGAGAUCUUGAGUCCGGAAGAGGUAAGUGGAACUGCGAGUGUAGAGGUGAAAUUCGUAGAUAUUCGCAAGAACACCAGUGGCGAAGGCGGCUCACUGGCCCGGUACUGACGCUGAGGUGCGAAAGCGUGGGGAGCAACAGG